rnacentral:lncRNA from 1 species
AAGGAUUUUUCACAUUAAAUAUGUGUGUUUGAUCAGUCAAUUUUCCUAAUAAGUGGUAUUAAGCAAUGGACUAGAAGAGGGAUGAAGAAAGGAGAGGGAGGGAUAUGGACUAAGCCAAGACGGUGACGUCCAAACUCUGCAAAGAACUACAUAUUAGGAUGUCAGUGUGUUAGGAAAAUUACCGAAUAACGACGACAUGAACUUUUUACAUAGAAACCCUUACAUGCGCUAUCCAGAAAUAACCAUUACGAGGAUAAAGGUUACGACGCAGAGAAAUAGCAACAUAGCAUCACACAUUUUUCGUACAUGUUAAAAGAAAUACAUAAAAGAGAAAUCUAAGAGUACUAAAGACACGUGCAAACAUGUUUAUUAGUUCAGUCUUUCCAUUGCCACAAUGCCACAAAAAAAAAUGGUGAUAUAGAGUACAGAGAGGGAAGAGAAGAGAAAAAUGAUUGUUAUGCAUCACAAGCUCAGAGUCAACUUCUAGUAUCUAUCGAAGAAAAUUUUGUUGCAUGAGGUGCAUAAAAAAGAAAAAUAUGAUAAUAAAGAGAUAUUGUGUUAUAUUAAUUAAUCCAUUAAUAUACCAUGUGUACCUCUACCUUUGUAUAUAUAUUUAUAAGAUAAGUUCUUGCUAUUGACAUGGAUAAGAGAAUAGCUAGUCGCAAACUCUACCUUUCAACAUAUUCCAGUAAGAAAAAUCUGCCAGUCAAUAGAAAGCUCUAAGACUUAAUUAAAAAAAUAGAAAUUAUAUUAUAAAUUAAUACCAUAAUCUCAAUAUAUCUAACACAAGGUUAAGGUGUUUUACCAUAUGCUUUUACGGGUAAAUAGUUCAUUUAGUUUUCUUUCUAAUUCUAUAGAUCAUACUAUAUCAAUUAUUAACUACAUAAUAUUUUCUAGCGGUAGUAGAACUCUAAACCAAUAGUUGAAAUUAUUCUACUAAUGAUAAUACUACCUGGUAUUAGAAUAGUGCAUCAUAAGAAGCUACCACCGUGUAGUUGAGAGCGCGCGGAUGACCUGGAAAGCAUUGCUAGGCAACCCAGCAAACAAUGUUCUCCGAUGACCCGCACGUCAGUAGUUGUGGACUCAUCACUCAUGCGGCCAUGCCGUCGUGCGGUGGUAGCCUGGUAGGCACCGAUCGACGACGACGACGAGAACAGAUGAACACUUCGAUCGCUACCAGCAAAGUGUUUUUUUUUUUUUUCAUUUCAAUGGGCCUGCAAGCUGCAAAAGCCUCGUACCGGUAAACAAAUUAAGAACCAUGCUGGAAGGCCGAAAAAAGCCAUUGCCUUCAAAACGAUAGCAGCAGCAGCAAAUGAUCCA